rnacentral:sRNA from 1 species
ACCACUGAAUUUUGUAAGGCGUGUUGGUGGGCGUUUGUCUGUGAUGGUGAUGGGCGGCGAACCAGCCCGCCGCUUGUACUGGACCUACUGGAGCACGUUCUGGAUCCAUGAAGAACGAGAUAUCUGGAUCAAGCUUGCGGUGCUCAAUCCGGCAUACCAAUAUUUCGUCCCCCUUAUACGUCGUGUUCUCCAAUUCAAAGUCCUUGCUUGACGUUAUUAUCAUAGUAUCCAGGUUGUGCCAGGAGCAUCCAUUUUUCAAAGGCUGAUUCUCGAACCAUGGGCCUGACCUCCAUCAUCGCAUGGGACCCUCGCCUCCAUGCAUAGCCAGGCCUCGGGAGGUUUAAUAUAUCCAGGCGAAAAUUUCCUGACCCACGGCAUUUCCCACUUGAAUUGGACUUAGAAAUGCGAUACUACCAGACGCGGUUCUACAUGUACUCUACAUAAAUGCUCGAACGGCAUGAGGAUAUAAUAUUGCCAUGGUUCAACAAGCCCAGUUAAUAUUUCUCAUAUAAAGCUCCGAAGGGACAUUUGAUCCCUACAUAUCACGUAGGGGGGUUGCUGGUAGUUUGUUUACUACCAUACAAACAUGCGAACCGUGCCAUCAUACGACAGACAAAGGAGAAAUAACAACAUCCUCGGGUAGAUCGAAAUUAAAUGAUUCGGACAAAAUACUAUCUCUCCGUUUUUCCCUAAACAAAACAAGAACAGAUGGCUCUUGAAAUAAUGCGCGUUACGGUAUUUUAUUCCCUCGUUUCCAACAUGCAUACUGAAUUAAGUAUGUCCGCCAUUCCUUUACUAGAGUCGAGUCUCUCCUGGGUUAUUGGAUAUUACCCAUAAAUUUCAGCAGCACGUCGCGUCCCCAAUCCAGUUUUAGCGAUCCCAUCCGUUCGACUCGUUGGUUGUGGCUUGGGCAGCGAUAUCGCCAGUCUCACCAACAGCUCGGUUGGUUAUUGCAGUGUGCACAGAGCCGGCGACAAUAAGUCACUACUCAAUAGGUCAUACCUGCUGAAUGGCGAAAUUUUGAGUAGCCUGACGCAUGAAAAAUAUUGCCAAAUACGUCACAUGGAAUGCUGAAGUAGACCGCGACGUCGCGCAUGAGCUUGGUGUCCUCCAAUGCUCACCCACGCCGCACAAGAUGCGGCAACCAUCGUUGGAAAGACUGGU